UGACUACUCCCUCCGUUCGGAAUUACUUGUCUCGAAAAUGGAUGUAUCUAGAACUAAAAUAUGUCUAGAUACAUCCAUUUCUGUGACAAGUAAUUCCAAACGGAGGGAGUACAUU
rfam:Triticum urartu cultivar G1812 contig311275, whole genome shotgun sequence.